rnacentral:snoRNA from 1 species
GUGUGCCAGUGAUGAUUAAAGAUAUAGCAAUGGUGAAUUCGAUGAAUGUGCUCGCGUGCCACUGGGUGUGCAACUCUGGUGAUAUACAUUCUUAUGCAGUGCAUCUGAGGCAAGC